rnacentral:rRNA from 1 species
UCUAGCCAUGGGCAGGUUGAAGGUUGGGUAACACUAACUGGAGGACCGAACCGACUAAUGUUGAAAAAUUAGCGGAUGACCUGUGGCUGGGGGUGAAAGGCCAAUCAAACCGGGAGAUAGCUGGUUCUCCCCGAAAGCUAUUUAGGUAGCGCCUCGUGAAUUCAUCUCCGGGGGUAGAGCACUGUUUCGGCUAGGGGGCCAUCCCGGCUUACCAACCCGAUGCAAACUGCGAAUACCGGAGAAUGUUAUCACGGGAGACACACGGCGGGUGCUAACGUCCGUCGUGAAGAGGGAAACAACCCAGACCGCCAGCUAAGGUCCCAAAGUCAUGGUUAAGUGGGAAACGAUGUGGGAAGGCCCAGACAGCCAGGAUGUUGGCUUAGAAGCAGCCAUCAUUUAAAGAAAGCGUAAUAGCUCACUGGUCGAGUCGGCCUGCGCGGAAGAUGUAACGGGGCUAAACCAUGCACCGAAGCUGCGGCAGCGACACUGUGU